rnacentral:lncRNA from 1 species
UUGAAAUUUUGUAUAUUUUGUGUUUUGUGCAAUAGGGAUUAAAUUGUAAAAAUUGUAAAUGUCAGGGGUAAAAUGGUAAUUUUCCCAUUUAUGUGUUUUUGAACUAAAUUGAAUGAAAAUAUGUUUGAAUGAGCUUAAUUUGAAUAUUUUUAGAUCAAGAACCAAAGAAAUCGGAUUUGGACUAGGGAAAAACGAAAGUUGUCGACUAGCAGCUCCGUCCCGUUUUACGACGUCUGAGGUAAGUUUAUAAGCAAAUACACAUGCCUAAAUGUAGUUAAAUGUUAAGUAUAUAUGCUGGUAUAUAAUAUAUGAAUUUAUACUUGUAAAUGCCGAAUGUGUAUGAGUUUGAAAACUAUGUUCGAGCUUUCGAUUCGACCAAGUUACGACGUUCGAAAGCCCUGUAUGAAUCUUAGGAAUAGUUAGGAUACAUAUGUCAUGAUACAGGAUUCCGACAUUUGUGUUCCUUGUGUAUGAUUAUUGAACCGAAAGUUAAAGGGUAGGUGUACAUUUUGUGCUUAUAUUCGAAUGAAGCAAUUGAAUUGCUAAUGUGAUAUGUUAUGUGAAAUGUGUUAACAUGUGAAUAAAUAAGCAAGACACUGGAAAUGUAUCCGGGCUAAAGACCCGCAGGCUUCGUGCUAGAAAUGUAUCCGGGCUAAAGACCCGCAGGCUUCAUCCUGGAAAUGUAUCCGGGCUAAAGUCCCGUAGGCUUCGUGCUGGAAAUGUAUCCAGGCUAAAGUCCCGCAGGCUUCGUGCUGGAAAUGUAUUCGUGCUGGUAACAUAAUUUUGGGUUUUAUACCUAGCAGGCCAAGUGCCGAUGAAUUUGAUAAAAGUAUACAAUUACAAGAUCCUACACUAAGUUGACAAAUUGAAAGUGCAUUACAUAUUAAGUUGGCCAGGUACGUAUCAUGUACUCGUAUGUGAUUUGAUUUGAAUUAAAUUAUAAGUAUAUAAAGUGAUGCAUAUGUGAAUAAGUGUUAUGACUAUAUAUGUGAUCGUGAUAUAUUCGGUAAAUGUGUGAAGUUAUGUGAAGUGAUUCUAUGUUUAUAUUCAAAUAUAAACACUUGGUCCUUGUGGAAAGAUUUGUGGAAGUAUAUGAUUUAUUUUUAGGUGAUUACGAUCGUGGAAAAUUAAACGUGAAUAUGAUUUUGUAUUUUAUUCGUUUCAAUGAAACUAAAGCUGUUAGUGAAGCAUUUUAAUGCCUAUGUUAUUUGAGUUCGAUCUUGAAUGACAUGAUAUACAUGUUUAGAUAAUUUGAAUGCAAGGAAUGUGUGAAAGAGCAAAUUGUAAUAAAUCUGCUUGGGACAGCAACAGUAGCGUGAUUUUGGAAAAUCACCAUAAAUUUUAGAAAUUGAAUUAGAAGUUGAAUAAAUUAUGUAAUUAAAUCUUAAUGAGUCUAGUUUCUUAUAAAAGAAACCUUGUAAGCAAAAGAAUUGUAGAUAAUGAGAUAUUUGAAGUGGCGUAAGAUAGAGUCAAAAUGACCUUGAAAUCCCCUGUUCUAUUUUUAGAAAAUCAUUGUAAAUUUUACAAUGAUGAUUAUAAGAUAAAAUUUAUAUACUUAGACUCCUUAAUGAGUAUAGUUUCAAAUGAAAUAAACGAUAACAUAAUUCAAAUUCUGUAUAAUGAGAAAAUUGAUUUGUAGUGAAGAGUAGUCAGAAUAGUCAAACAGUGAAACAGGAGAAACUUCAAUAAAAAUCUGGUAUUGAUUGGUCAAACAAAAAAUUUUUAAAAUUUGAUGGAUGGAAGAUAUGUGAGUCUAUUUUCAGGGAAAAUUAACGG